rnacentral:rRNA from 1 species
ACGUGAGUAACCUGCCCCUGACUCUGGGAUAAGCGUUGGAAACGACGUCUAAUACUGGAUAUGAUCACUGGCCGCAUGGUCUGGUGGUGGAAAGAUUUUUUGGUUGGGGAUGGACUCGCGGCCUAUCAGCUUGUUGGUGAGGUAAUGGCUCACCAAGGCGACGACGGGUAGCCGGCCUGAGAGGGUGACCGGCCACACUGGGACUGAGACACGGCCCAGACUCCUACGGGAGGCAGCAGUGGGGAAUAUUGCACAAUGGGCGAAAGCCUGAUGCAGCAACGCCGCGUGAGGGAUGACGGCCUUCGGGUUGUAAACCUCUUUUAGUAGGGAAGAAGCGAAAGUGACGGUACCUGCAGAAAAAGCACCGGCUAACUACGUGCCAGCAGCCGCGGUAAUACGUAGGGUGCAAGCGUUGUCCGGAAUUAUUGGGCGUAAAGAGCUCGUAGGCGGUUUGUCGCGUCUGCUGUGAAAUCCCGAGGCUCAACCUCGGGCUUGCAGUGGGUACGGGCAGACUAGAGUGCGGUAGGGGAGAUUGGAAUUCCUGGUGUAGCGGUGGAAUGCGCAGAUAUCAGGAGGAACACCGAUGGCGAAGGCAGAUCUCUGGGCCGUAACUGACGCUGAGGAGCGAAAGCAUGGGGAGCGAACAGGAUUAGAUACCCUGGUAGUCCAUGCCGUAAACGUUGGGCGCUAGAUGUAGGGACCUUUCCACGGUUUCUGUGUCGUAGCUAACGCAUUAAGCGCCCCGCCUGGGGAGUACGGCCGCAAGGCUAAAACUCAAAGGAAUUGACGGGGGCCCGCACAAGCGGCGGAGCAUGCGGAUUAAUUCGAUGCAACGCGAAGAACCUUACCAAGGCUUGACAUACACCGGAAACGGCCAGAGAUGGUCGCCCCCUUGUGGUCGGUGUACAGGUGGUGCAUGGUUGUCGUCAGCUCGUGUCGUGAGAUGUUGGGUUAAGUCCCGCAACGAGCGCAACCCUCGUUCUAUGUUGCCAGCGGGUUAUGCCGGGGACUCAUAGGAGACUGCCGGGGUCAACUCGGAGGAAGGUGGGGAUGACGUCAAAUCAUCAUGCCCCUUAUGUCUUGGGCUUCACGCAUGCUACAAUGGCCGGUACAAAGGGCUGCGAUACCGUAAGGUGGAGCGAAUCCCAAAAAGCCGGUCUCAGUUCGGAUUGAGGUCUGCAACUCGACCUCAUGAAGUCGGAGUCGCUAGUAAUCGCAGAUCAGCAACGCUGCGGUGAAUACGUUCCCGGGCCUUGUACACACCGCCCGUCGAGUCAUGAAAGUCGGUAACACCCGAAGCCGGUGGCCUAACC